CGGCGAGUGAAGCGGCAAGAGCUCAAAUUUGAAAUCUGGCCCUUUCAGGGUCCGAGUUGUAAUUUGUAGAGGGCGCUUUGGCGUUGGCUACGGCCUAAGUUCCUUGGAACAGGACGUCACAGAGGGUGAGAACCCCGUACGUGGCCGCUGGCCUUCGCCGUGUAAAGCCCCUUCGACGAGUCGAGUUGUUUGGGAAUGCAGCUCUAAAUGGGAGGUAAAUUUCUUCUAAAGCUAAAUACUGGCCAGAGACCGAUAGCGCACAAGUAGAGUGAUCGAAAGAUGAAAAGCACUUUGGAAAGAGAGUCAAAAAGCACGUGAAAUUGUUGAAAGGGAAGCGCUUGCAGCCAGACUUGCCUGUAGUUGCUCAUCCGAGCUCCCGCUCGGUGCACUCUUCUAUGGGCAGGCCAGCAUCAGUCCGGGCGGUCGGAUAAAGGCCUCGGGAAUGUAGCUCCCCUCGGGGAGUGUUAUAGCCCGGGGUGCCAUGCGACCAGCCUGGACUGAGGUCCGCGCAUCUGCUAGGAUGCUGGCGUAAUGGCUGUAAGCGGCCCGUCUUGAAACACGGACCAAGGAGUCUAACAUCUAUGCGAGUGUUUGGGUGUCAAGCCCGGGCGCGCAAUGAAAGUGAACGGAGGUGGGAACCCCUCGGGGCGCACCAUCGACCGAUCCUGAUGUCUUCGGAUGGAUUUGAGUAAGAGCAUAGCUGUUGGGACCCGAAAGAUGGUGAACUAUGCCUGAAUAGGGUGAAGCCAGAGGAAACUCUGGUGGAGGCUCGCAGCGGUUCUGACGUGCAAAUCGAUCGUCAAA
rnacentral:rRNA from 1 species